UAUAAAAUUAAUCGAUUUAAGAAAUAUUAUUAGGUAGAAUUUUAAUAUUUUUGGAAGACCUUUAUGUAAAACAAAAGAAUUACAUUAUGGACCAGGAUUAGAUACCCUGUUACUUUUAAUUAUAAAAUUUUGGAAUAGUAAUAAUAAUGAAAUUUAACGGAUUUGGCGGCAAGAUAGCUAUUUAGAGGAACCUGCCCUGUAAACGAUGAACCACGAAUAACAUUACUUUUAUUUGUAAUCAGUUUGUAUAUCGCUGUUGUUAGUUAGUUUCUGUAGAAAACUUUCUAUUAUAAAAAAAUUAAAGACUUCAAGUAAAGGUGCAGCUAAUAUAAAAGUUAGAGGUGGGUUACAUUAUUAGGAUUAAUACGGAUAAAGUUUUUGAAAUAACUUUUGAAGGUGGAUUUAAUAGUAAAGUUUAUAAAAACUUGAUUUAAGCUCUUUCUUGUGUACACACCGCCCGUCGCUCUCCUUUUUAAAU
rnacentral:rRNA from 1 species